rnacentral:rRNA from 1 species
UGAAUACGAGACGCUAAGGCGUCGAAGUAGUGUAUGUCAUACUUCCAAGAAAAGCUUGCACUGUCAUAGAUAAAAAACGCCUGUACCAUAACCGACACAGGUGGGUAGGUAGAGUAUACUAAGGGGCGCGAGAUAACUCUCUCUAAGGAACUCGGCAAAAUAACUCCGUAACUUCGGGAGAAGGAGUGCCUUAUUCGUAAGGUUGCAAUAACAAGAUCCAAGCAACUGUUUAUCAAAAACACAGGUCUCCGCCAAGUCGUAAGACGAUGUAUGGGGGCUGACGCCUGCCCAGUGCCAGAAGGUUAAAGAAGUUGGUUAGCAAUUGCGAAGCUGAUAACUGAAGCCCUGGUGAACGGCGGCCGUAACUAUAACGGUCCUAAGGUAUCGAAAUUCCUUGUCGGGUAAGUUCCGACCCGCACGAAAGGCGUAAUGAUUUGGAUACUGUCUCGGAGAGGGGCUCGGUGAAAUAGACUUGUCUGUGAAGAUGCGGACUACCUGCACCAGGACAGAAAGACCCUAUGAAGCUUUACUGUAACUUGAAAUUGAAAUUGGACUUUAUUCGCGCAGUAUAGGUGGGAGGCGUUGAUUAUAAUCUUGUGGGAUUAUUGGAGCCAUCAGUGAGAUACCACUCUUGUAAUGUUAGAUUUCUAACUUUGAAUCAUUAUCUGGUCAAAGAACAGUUUCAGGCGGGCAGUUUGACUGGGGCGGUCGCCUCCUAAACGGUAACGGAGGCGUACAAAGGUUUCCUCUGAACGGUUAGAAAUCGUAUCUAGAGUGUAAAGGCAUAAGGAAGCUUGACUGUGAGACCUACAAGUCGAGCAGGGACGAAAGUCGGUCUUAGUGAUCUGACGGUACUGAGUGGAAAGGCCGUCACUCAACGGAUAAAAGUUACUCUAGGAUAACAGGCUGAUCUCCCCCAAGAGUUCACAUCGACGGGGAGGUUUGGCACCUCGAUGUCGGCUCAUCGCAUCCUGGGGCGGUAGUACGUCCCAAGGGUUGGGCUGUUCGCCCAUGAAAGCGGUACGCGAGCUGGGUUCAGAACGUCGUGAGACAGUUCGGUCCAUAUCCGGUGUAGGCGUUAGAAUAUUGAGAGGAGCCUUCUUUAGUACGAGAGGACCGAGAAGGACAUACCUCUGGUGUACCAGUUAUCGUGCCAACGGUAAACGCUGGGUAGCUAUGUAUGGAGUGGAUAACCGCUGAAAGCAUCUAAGUGGGAAGCCCACCUCAAGAUAAG